GACGAACGCUGGCGGCGUGCCUAAUACAUGCAAGUCGAACGCACAGUUUAUACCGUAGCUUGCUACACCAUAGACUGUGAGUUGCGAACGGGUGAGUAACGCGUAGGUAACCUGCCUGGUAGCGGGGGAUAACUAUUGGAAACGAUAGCUAAUACCGCAUAAUAUUAAUUAUUGCAUGAUAAUUAAUUGAAAGGUGCAAUUGCACCACUACCAGAUGGACCUGCGUUGUAUUAGCUAGUAGGUGAGGUAACGGCUCACCUAGGCGACGAUACAUAACCGACCCGAGAGGGUGGUCGGCCACGCUGGGACGGAGACACGGCCCAGACCCCUGCGGGAGGCAGCAGUAGGGAAUCUUCGGCGAUGGACGAAAGUCUGACCGAGCAACGCCGGGUGAGUGAAGAAGGGUGUCGGAUCGUAAAGCUCUGUUGUAAGAGAAGAACGGGUGUGAGAGUGGAAAGUUCACACUGUGACGGUACCUGAACAGAAAGGGACGGCUAACUACGUG
rnacentral:rRNA from 1 species